rnacentral:rRNA from 1 species
AGUUUGAUCAUGGCUCAGAUUGAACGCUGGCGGGAUGCUUUACACAUGCAAGUCGAACGGCAGCACGGACUUCAGUCUGGUGGCGAGUGGCGAACAGGUGAGUAAUGUAUCUGCCUAGUAGCGGGGGGAUAACUACGCAGCGUAGCUAAUACCGCAUACGCCCUUCGGGGGAAAGCGGAGACCUUCGGGCCUCGCACUAUUAAACGGCCGAUAUCGGAUUAGCUAGUUGGUGGGGUAACAGCCCGCAGGCGACGAUCCGCCAGCUGGUUUGAGAGGACGACCAGCCACGCGGGACUGGGACACGGCCCAGACUCCUACGGGAGGCAGCAGUGGGGAAUUUUGGACAAUGGGGAAACCCUGAUCCAGCCAUCCCGCGUGUGCAGUGAAGGCCUUCGGGUUGUAAAGCACUUUUGGCAGGAAAAGAAACGGCACGGGAUAAUACCCCAUGCAACUGACGGUACCUGCAGAAUAAGCACCGGCUAACUACGUGCCAGCAGCCGCGGUAAUACGUAGGGGUGCAAGCGUUAAUCGGAAUUACUAUGACGUAAAGCGUGCGCAGGCGGUUCCGGGAAAGAAAGAUGUGAAAUCCCAGAGCUUAAACUUUUGGAACUGCAUUUUUAACUACCGAGCUAGAGUGUGUCAGAGGAGGUGGAAUUCCGCGUGCUUGAUUAGAGGAAAUGCGUAGAUAUGCGGAGGAACACCGAUGGCGAAGGCAGCUAUAAGGAUGUACUGACGCUCAUGCACGAAAGCGUGGGGAGCAAACAGGAUUAGAUACCCUGGUAGUCCACGCCCUAAACGAUGUCAACUAGCUGUUGGGGCCUUCAGUGCUUGGUAGCGCAGCCUAACGCGUGAAGUUGACCGCCUGGGGGAAAUGCGGUCGCAAGAUUAAAACUCAAAAGGAAUUGACGGGGACCGCACAAGCGGUGGAUGAUGUGGAUUAAUUCGAUGCAACGCGAAAAACCUUACCUACCCUUGACAUGUCUGGAAUCCCGAAGAGAUUUGGUGCUCGCAGAGAACCGGAACACAGGUGCUGCAUGGCUGUCGUCAGCUCGUGUCGUGAGAUGUUGGGUUGGUCCACCAACAAGGCGCAACCCUUGUCAUUAGUUGCUACGAGGGCGCCUCUGGCUGGAGCUGCCGGUGACAAACCGGAGGAAGGUGGGGAUAGCGUCAAGUCCUCAUGGCGGCCCUUAUGGGUGGAAACACGUCAUACAAUGGUCGGGACAAUCGCCAACCCGCGAGGGGGAGCCAAUCCAGAAACCCCGAUCGUAGUCCGGAUCGCAGUCUGCAACUCGACUGAAGUCCGGAAUCGCCUGAUAAUCGCGGAUCAGCAUCGCGGUGAAUACGUUCCCGGAGUCUGUACACCACCGCCCGUCACACCAUGGGAGUGGGUUUUUACCAGAAGUAGAUUAGCCUAAUAACAAUAAGGAGGGCGAUUACCACGGUAGGAUUCGCUGACUGGGGGUGAAGUCGUAACAAGGUAACUCUGUUACUGAUGCUCAG